CAGGAAACAUCUGGAGAUGUUGUUUGUUUACCGGCUCGUUUCUCUUCAGCAGAGACGGACAACACAAACCGGGCCGAGGCUCCAGAAUCUGAAGUGGGCCCCUGCAGACCGGCACCGGUCUACUGCCCGUCUCCGCCCGGUUGGUACGUUCACCACGUGGUCACAGACACCCCCUACCCUCCCCCGACCAUGCCAGCUCCGUCAGCUCCGGUUCUGACCGCUCAUCCCGUCCAUCCCGGAGCGCCGCCCCAGCAGAAUCUUUAUCAGCAGCAUCUUCCACCUCUGCUGCACCCGUUCUACACACAGUACCAGUAUCAGCCGCCAGUGCAGCCAGUCAUGCAGCCACAACCAGAACCAGUCCAGCCUCAGGUGCCUCCACAGCCGGAACCAGUCACACAGCCACAACAAGAACCAGUCCAGCCUCCAUUGCAGCCACAACCAGAACCAGUGACGCAGCCACAACCGGAACCAGUGACGCAGCCACAACCGGAACCAGUGACGGAACCACAACCAGAACCAAUACAGCCAGUUCCAAUAGUGGAGGAAGAUCCGGCAGCAGUCACAGAGAAGGAGGUUCUGGGCCGGGCUGCAGCUGGACCUGCUGCAGCUCCAAUGCAGGAACCAGGAGGGGGUGAGGGGGGGCUGAAGCCCGCUGCCACCAACAAAGCUGCAAAGAAAAAGAUCAAAGCAGCAGCUCCAAUCAAAGGUACAGCCUGUUUCUAUGGAAACAGUCAGCAAACAACAGUGAUUUAUAAACACUGA
rnacentral:lncRNA from 1 species